rnacentral:rRNA from 1 species
GACGAACGCUGGCGGCGUGCUUAACACAUGCAAGUCGAACGAUGAAGCCCAGCUUGCUGGGUGGAUUAGUGGCGAACGGGUGAGUAACACGUGAGUAACCUGCCCUGAACUCUGGGAUAAGCGUUGGAAACGACGUCUAAUACCGGAUAGGACCUCGGAUGGCAUCGUCUGGGGUGGAAAGUUUUUCGGUAUGGGAUGGACUCGCGGCCUAUCAGCUUGUUGGUGAGGUAAUGGCUCACCAAGGCGACGACGGGUAGCCGGCCUGAGAGGGUGACCGGCCACACUGGGACUGAGACACGGCCCAGACUCCUACGGGAGGCAGCAGUGGGGAAUAUUGCACAAUGGGCGCAAGCCUGAUGCAGCAACGCCGCGUGGGGGAUGACGGCCUUCGGGUUGUAAACCUCUUUUGUCAGGGAAGAAGCCGCAAGGUGACGGUACCUGGAGAAAAAGGACCGGCUAACUACGUGCCAGCAGCCGCGGUAAAAC